CUACGGGGGGCUCCAGUGAGGAAUAUUGCACAAUGGGGGGAACCCUGAUGCAGCAACGCCGCGUGGAGGAUGACGCAUUUCGGUGUGUAAACUCCUUUUAUAUGUCAAGAAAAUGACGGUAGCAUAUGAAUAAGCACCGGCUAACUCCGUGCCAGCAGCCGCGGUAAUACGGAGGGUGCAAGCGUUACUCGGAAUCACUGGGCGUAAAGGACGCGUAGGCGGGUUGGAAAGUCAGGUGUGAAAUCCUACAGCUUAACUGUAGAACUGCACUUGAAACUUCUAAAUCUAGAGUAUGGGAGGGGGAGAAGGAAUUAGUGGUGGAGGGGUAAAAUCCGUAGAUAUCACUAGGAAUACCUAAAGCGAAGGCGAUCUCCUGGAACAUUACUGACGCUAAGGCGUGAAAGCGUGGGGAGCAAACAGGAUUAGAUACCCCCGUAGUC
rnacentral:rRNA from 1 species